GAUCCAAUGGCACAGUUGGUUAGUGUGCUUGCUAAGGCUUAAUUCGCGAGUGCUUGGUAAGCAGGAGACCCUCGUUCGAUUCGGGGUUGGGUCA